rnacentral:rRNA from 1 species
CGCCCGCUCAGAAACUCAAAUGACUUGACGGGGGCCCGCACAAGCGGUGGAGCAUGUGGUUUAAUUCGAUGAUACGCGAGGAACCUUACCUGGGCUCAAAUGUAUGUUGACGUAUUCUGAAAGGGAUACUUCUUCGGACAAUAUACAAGGUGCUGCAUGGUUGUCGUCAGCUCGUGCCGUGAGGUGUCGGGUUAAGUCCCAUAACGAGCGCAACCCCUAUCAUUAGUUGCCAUCAGGUAAUGCUGGGGACUCUAAAGGAACUGCCUACGCAAGUAGUGAGGAAGGCGGGGAUGACGUCAAAUCAGCACGGCCCUUACGUCCAGGGCUACACACGUGCUACAAUGGCCGAUACAGAGGGCAGCUACCUGGUGACAGGAUGCAAAUCUCCAAAGUCGGUCUCAGUUCGGAUCGGAGUCUGCAACCCGACUCCGUGAAGUUGGAUUCGCUAGUAAUCGCGCAUCAGCCAUGGCGCGGUGAAUACGUUCCCGGGCCUU